rnacentral:rRNA from 1 species
CAGUAGCCGCGGUAAUACGAAGGGGGCUAGCGUUGUUCGGAUUUACUGGGCGUAAAGGGCGCGUAGGCGGGCUGAUAAGUCAGGGGUGAAAUCCCAAGGCUCAACCUUGGAACUGCCUUUGAUACUGUUUGUCUUGAGUUCGAGAGAGGUAAGUGGAACUGCGAGUGUAGAGGUGAAAUUCGUAGAUAUUCGCAAGAACACCAGUGGCGAAGGCGGCUUACUGGCUCGAAACUGACGCUGAGGCGCGAAAGCGUGGGGAGCAAACAGGAUUAGAUACCCCUGUAGUCCCUGUCUCUUAUAC